rnacentral:misc_RNA from 1 species
AAAUUCUCAAAGUAAAUCUUUUGUUAAUUCAACUGGUUUUGCUUUGGACUUGGAGGUCUUUGCAGAUUUCACGUCUGCUCCUCUUAAAUGCAUUAGCUGGAUCUCAGUAUAUGCUUGGUUCCACUCGGCGUGAUAAGUAUCACUCGCUGAGGACACUGUAAAAGGUGGCCAGGAAAUACAGAUGAACCGCUUCUAAUAGUCUAUUAAGUUAGACAAUUUAAUUUUAAG